rnacentral:lncRNA from 1 species
GGUUCGUCUUGGCCGAGAUGAUGGCCGUGUCGCCCGGCAUGGCGUGAGCCGAGUGAUGGUGGUGGAGGCUGGGGUCGCCUGUUGAUGGCGGCUGCAAACACGCACAGGCGCUUGUGCGAGGUGCGUCAAGCGGUCGAUGGCAGACGAGGUGGGCUGCAGCGAGAGGGAGAGGAUGCAGACCAGGGUGUUGUGUCUACAGUGGUUGGAGCCGGAGCCAGAUGAGCUCGGUCAAACAGGUGGGCUGCAGCGAGAGGGAGAGGAUGCAGACCAGAGAGGGAGGGAGGGAGGGAG